rnacentral:rRNA from 1 species
GACGAACGCUGGCGGCGUGCUUAACACAUGCAAGUCGAACGGUAAGGCCCUUGGGGGUACACGAGUGGCGAACGGGUGAGUAACACGUGGGUGAUCUGCCCUGCACUUCGGGAUAAGCCUGGGAAACUGGGUCUAAUACCGGAUAGGACUCCUGGCUUCAUGGUUGGGGGUGGAAAGCUUUUGCGGUGUGGGAUGGGCCCGCGGCCUAUCAGCUUGUUGGUGGGGGAAUGGCCUACCAAGGCGACGACGGGUAGCCGGCCUGAGUGGGUGACCGGUCACACUGGGACUGAGAUACGGCCCAGACUCCUACGGGAGGCAGCAGUGGGGAAUAUUGCACAAUGGGCGCAAGCCUGAUGCAGCGACGCCGCGUGAGGGAUGACGGCCUUCGGGUUGUAAACCUCUUUCAGCUAUGACGAAGCGCAAGUGACGGUAGUAGCAGAAGAAGGACCGGCCAACUACGUGCCAGCAGCCGCAGUAA